rnacentral:misc_RNA from 1 species
UCCGGUUUAUCACCGGCAGUCCCCUAUGAGUCCCCGGCCGAACCGCUGGCAACAAAGGGCAAGGGUUGCGCUCGUUGCGGGACUUAACCCAACAUCUCACGACACGAGCCGACGACAGCCAUGCAGCACCUGUGCACCAGCCCCGAAGGGAAGACAGCUUUCACUGCCGGUCCAGUGCAUGUCAAACCCAGGUAAGGUUCUUCGCGUUGCGUCGAAUUAAACCACAUGCUCCACCGCUUGUGCGGGCCCCCGUCAAUUCCUUUGAGUUUUAGCCUUGCGGCCGUAGUCCCCAGGCGGAGUACUUAUCGCGUUAGCUGCGGCACCGAGAGGGUCGAUACCCCCGACACCUAGUACUCAUCGUUUACAGCGUGGACUAC